rnacentral:rRNA from 1 species
AGAGAACGCUGGCGGUAGGCCUAACACAUGCAAGUCGAACGGCAGCACAGUAAGAGCUUGCUCUUACGGGUGGCGAGUGGCGGACGGGUGAGGAAUACAUCGGAAUCUACUUUUUCGUGGGGGAUAACGUAGGGAAACUUACGCUAAUACCGCAUACGACCUACGGGUGAAAGCAGGGGAUCUUCGGACCUUGCGCGAUUGAAUGAGCCGAUGUCGGAUUAGCUAGUUGGCGGGGUAAAGGCCCACCAAGGCGACGAUCCGUAGCUGGUCUGAGAGGAUGAUCAGCCACACUGGAACUGAAACACGGUCCAGACUCCUACGGGAGGCAGCAGUGGGGAAUAUUGGACAAUGGGCGCAAGCCUGAUCCAGCCAUACCGCGUGGGUGAAGAAGGCCUUCGGGUUGUAAAGCCCUUUUGUUGGGAAAGAAAAGCAGCAGGUUAAUACCCCGCUGUUCUGACGGUACCCAAAGAAUAAGCACCGGCUAACUUCGUG